rnacentral:rRNA from 1 species
CUUAAAUGAAUUGACGGGUCCCGCACAAGCGGCGGAGCGUGUGGUUUAAUUCGAUGCUACACGAAGAACCUUACCUGGGUUUGACAUAGAGGUAGUAGGGAAGCGAAAGCGGACGACCUUCGGGAGCCUCUACAGGUGUUGCAUGGCUGUCGUCAGCUCGUGUCGUGAGAUGUUCGGUUAAGUCCGCUAACGAGCGCAACCCUCGCUGUGUGUUACAAGUGUCACACGGUACUGCCGAUAUUAAGUCGGAGGAAGGUGGGGAUGACGUCAAGUCAGCAUGACCUUUAUAUCCAGGGCUACACACACGCUACAAUGGCCAGUACAAUGGGUUGCCAAGCCGCGAGGCGGAGCCAAUCCUAAAAAGCUGGCCUCAGUUCAGAUUGCAGUCUGCAACUCGACUGCAUGAAGUUGGAGUUGCUAGUAACCGCAGGUCAGCAAUACUGCGGUGAAUACGUUCCCGGGGAUU